rnacentral:tRNA from 1 species
ACCCCAAUAGCUUAAUCGGUUAGAGCACCCGACUCAUAAUCGGAAGGUUGUAGAAUCAUACUCUACUUGGGGUACCA